AGCUCCAAUAGCGUAUGCUAAAGUUGUUGCAGUUAAAAGGCUCGUAGUCGAAUUUAUGGCCCUGUGAACCUGGUCCAACCUCUCGUAGGUUGUGAACCGGUGUGCACGGGUCAUUCUUCUGAAGAGCACUUCUGCCCUUGAUUGGUGUGGUUGUGUGAUUCAGAUCAUUUACUGUGAGAAAAUCAAAGUGUUCAAAGCAGGCUUUAAUGCUUGAAUGGUUCAGCAUGGAAUAAUAGGAUAAGACUUCGGUUUUGUUUUGUUGGCUAGACGAACCAAAGUAAUGAUUGAAAGGGAUAGUUGGGGGUGCUAGUAUUUAAUGGUCAGCGGUGAAAUGCGAGGACCCAUUAAAGACUAACUUAUGCGAAAGCAUUCACCAAGGAUAUCUUCUUUGAUCAAGAAC
rnacentral:rRNA from 1 species